rnacentral:rRNA from 1 species
CAGCAGCCGCGGGAAUACGAAGGGUGCAAGCGUUACUCGGAAUUACUGGGCGUAAAGCGUGCGUAGGUGGUGGUUUAAGUCCGUUGUGAAAGCCCUGGGCUCAACCUGGGAAUUGCAGUGGAUACUGGGUCACUAGAGUGUGGUAGAGGAUAGUGGAAUUUCCGGUGUAGCAGUGAAAUGCGUAGAGAUCGGAAGGAACAUCUGUGGCGAAGGCGACUAUCUGGGCCAACACUGACACUGAGGUACGAAAGCGUGGGGAGCAAACAGGAUUAGAUACCCCAGUAGUCCCUGUCUCUUAUAC